UUCCCCAUGUUCAUAUUGCUGACACUUCAUUCAUUUAUAUAUUACAUACUUCAGUUGUGUAUACCUAACUCAAUUUCGUUAUUAUUGGUAAGAAAAAUGCCUUAUAUCUUAUUAACUGUAUUAUAUUUGACGUGAACAUAACUUAUGUUCUCCAAGUGGUUAGCUAGGGUGGCGUGUGGUUUGAGGUUGUUUAUUGUUUUCAAUGGGCUCGGGACUUCUACUUGGGAUUCUCAAGGCAAGUUCUUCUCCUUGGGAUGUUUUUCUUUGAGGGCACUCUUCUAACGAUGUGUUAACUCAAGCAUUGGGUACAAAAGAGCAUAACGGUCGUGUUCGUGGGGUCGGUGGGUAUGUUACUCCUACCAAUUACUUUCAUUCUGUAAAAAAGACAUCUAAACGUGAGGAUGGGAUUAUACUUGAGAAUGAAGAACUUCGAAGGCGUGUAAGCGAAUUAGAAGCACAUAUCCACUCAAACUUGUCUAGAUCAUUAUCUGGACAUGGUAGCUGUUCGAAACCAAAUAUCUUAGAAGAGAGUGACUCGAUGAAAAUAAUCAAAGGGAAGAGUAAGUUGAUGGAUACAAUUGAAGGGAAAGAGGUGGAUGAGAUAAAUGUAAAUGACGACAAAGUAGAGUUGGACAUCUUUAAGGUAUGCAAUCGAUCCUCUAAUAAACUCAAAUUCUUGAAUUAGGAGAGAGCCUUAAAAAAAAUGCCUAAGGAAAGAGAGGUUGUCUGUGAAUCAACGUCAGUUUUGCCAAUGGGAAUGAAGUUGAUUCUCAGAUACGCUGAGAAGAUAAUGGAGAAAGAUUCUAGUAUCACUAUUCCACUACCUGUAAGGAUUUUUGGUGUUAGUCGAAAGACUUCUGUUCUCCGAGAGGACAUCAUUGAUCUUUGUAACAUGAAUGAGGUCAAAACAUUUACAUUAGUGGCCUAUAUGACGUAGUUGUAUUCAUCUGUUCUUGGUUCGAAGGAAAAUAUACAGUACGUCUUUGUAGAUCCAUCCCUCACCUCUGUCGGACACUCACAAGAAUCUCAAGUUCGAAACUUAUGCAGUAGAUUGAUGGUCUCGAAGAUUAACGAAAUAGUUCUUGCUCCUUUUAAUCCUGGGGGUCAUUGGGCACUGCUGGCCAUAAAUGCGUAUGAUGAUACAGUAUUUUACCUCGACUCACUAAGGACCACAUUGAAGUCAACUAUAAGAUACGUCACUGACACAGCAAUAGCGAUGUUUCAGUCACAAAAGAACAUUAAAAAAGUAGAAAACAAACGUUAUGGCGAACAGUAAAGGCA